rnacentral:rRNA from 1 species
ACUCAGGGAGGUAGUGACCAGAAAUAACGACGACGGGUUUCGAUUCGUCGAUUGCAAUGAGCACAAUGUAAAAUUCUUAGCGAGUACCGACUGGAGGGCAAGUCUGGUGCCAGCAGCCGCGGUAAUUCCAGCUCCAGUAGCGUAUAUUAAAGUUGUUGCAGUUAAAAAGCUCGUAGUUGGACGUCUCUGCGACACGCAGCUCCGCCACGCAACUAGAUACGUUCUUAACUGAACGGUCUAGACCUGCGGGCCCUUUACCUUGAGGAAACUAGAGUGUUUAAGGCAGGCUGAGCCUGAAUACUGCAGCUGGGAAUAAUGCGCACGACUGUCUUGGCGAGGCAGCUCCACACUUUUAAUAGGAACAGUUGGGGGCAUUCGUACUCAGCAGUCAGAGGUGAAAUUCUUGGAUUUGCUGAAGACGGACUAAUGCGAAGGCAUUUGCCAAGGAUGUUUUCAUUAAUCAAGAACGAAAGUUAAGGGAUCCAAGACGAUCAGAUACCGUCCUAGUCUUAACCAUAAACGAUGCCGACUAGGGAUCGGGAGAGACGUACAAACUCUCUCGGCACCUCACGAGAAAUCCAAGUCUUUGGGUUCUGGGGGGAGUAUGGUCGCAAGACUGAAACUUAAAGGAAUUGACGGAAGGGCACCACAAGGAGUGGAGCCAGCGGCUUAAUUUGACCCAACACGGGGAAACUUACCAGGUCCAGACAUAGUGAGGAUUGACAGAUUGACAGCUCUUUCUUGAUCCUAUGGGUGGUGGUGCAUGGCCGUUCCUAGUUGGUGGAGUGAUCUGUCUGGCUAAUUCCGAUAACGAACGAGACCUCAGCCUGCUAACUAGAUCUUCUUAGAGGGACUUCCUGCUCGCGUGGGAGGAAGUGAGGCAAUAACAGGUCUGUGAUGCCCUUAGAUGUCCUGGGCCGCACGCGCGCUACACUGACGCAACCUGCAAGUUCCAAGCCUGUCAAGGUCUGGCAAACUGCCAACUGCGUCGUAGUUGGAACUGACCCUUGCAAUUCUUGGUCACAAACCAGGAAUUCCUAGUAAGCGCAAGUCAUCAGCUUGCACUGACUAAGUCCCUGCCCUUUGUACACACCGCCCGUCGCUCCUACCGAUUCCGAGUGAUCAGGUGAACCUCUCGGACCCUGGAAGUUAAGUGAACCUUAUCACUUAGA